GUCUGGAUCUGUUGAGUUUUGUGAUGUAUAGCUUAACUUCAGUUUAGAUAAACAGGAUUUUGGGAACUUGGAAAAACAGUAGAGUUUUUUGAAGCAUAGACUACUAAUUUGAAGAAUAUUGGACCUGUGAACAUUUCAUGUUGUUUGUAAAUGAUAUUUUAUGAUAGUACUCAUCACAAGGAAGAUUUUGAUGUAUAAUAUGGUAUGCUAUAUAAACUGAAUAUGUAUUUAUUGAA